GAAAUAAACCUGAUGGGUUGUUGCUGGCUCUCUAGGGAGCAUGUGCACGCCUUGUCAUCUUUAUAUCUCCACCUGUGCACUUUUUGUAGACCUGAAAAGGUCUAUGUUGCUUCAUUUUACCCCAAUGUAUGUCUAUAGAAUGUUGUGCCUAUGAUAAUAUAUACAACUUUCAGCAACGGAUCUCUUGGCUCU
rnacentral:misc_RNA from 1 species